rnacentral:lncRNA from 1 species
UAAAUUCUUUGGAGCCGUGUCUCUGGAGUGUCCUCAUACUCUGAAGGUCCACAGUUUUCCUGCUUACAGCAGUUCCUUGUGCUUCCUUUCAGGAGGCAGAACUGAUCCUCUUCCAGCCCAGGGAGUUUUGGAGCUAUGGGCUGAAGAUAUAAGAUUAACAGGCAUCCCCAGAAAGAUGACAUCGGGAUAUGGUAGAACAAUAAGUAUCUAUUUAGUGAGGACCCAGUCUUUUUGGGAAACUGUUUGCUCUUCAACUCGUGUCUAGGAAGGAAUAUUUAUUAUGUGACACUGAUAAAUUGCCCCACUUGAUUCUGGAUUCUAGUAGCAAGAUACGCGAUUUGAAUGCCAACACUGAGUUGGAGGUAACCGAAGGUCAGAGUGUUGGUGUUCACGGAGAAGCAGCAUGUAUACAGAUUGCACAUUUAGAUCUGAAGAAUGUUUCUGAUGGUGACAAAUGGGAAGCGUCAUGCCUUAUCACUUUCCCCCUCAUUGAUUUCAAAACAAUGCAUCUGCAGAGAGAUGGGGAGGAGCCAUUUCCUGCAUUUAAGUCUUGGCAGGAAGACUCUGAGUCUGGAGAAGCUCAGCUGUCUCCACAGGCUGCAAGGAUGACUCACCACCCUCUGGGAGAGGACUGCCCUCCAGUAUUAUCUCAUCGUAGUUUAGAUUUUGGGCAAAGCCAGCGUU